CUGAAAGGGAGCGUUGCUGGGAACCUGGCGAGUCAUGAUUCCCUCUGUCUGACACCAGGGUCCACUGCUCUCCUGUAGAAGUUGUUCAGCUCAAGAG